GGAGUACGGCCGCAAGGUUAAAACUCAAAUGAAUUGACGGGGGCCCGCACAAGCGGUGGAGCAUGUGGUUUAAUUCGAUGCAACGCGAAGAACCUUACCUGGUCUUGACAUCCACAGAACUUAGCAGAGAUGCUUUGGUGCCUUCGGGAACUGUGAGACAGGUGCUGCAUGGCUGUCGUCAGCUCGUGUUGUGAAAUGUUGGGUUAAGUCCCGCAACGAGCGCAACCCUUAUCCUUUGUUGCCAGCGGUCCGGCCG
rnacentral:rRNA from 1 species